CUGCGAAUGGCUCAUUAAAUCAGUUAUCGUUUAUUUGAUAGUACCUACCCACUACUUGGAUAACCGUGGUAAUUCUAGAGCUAAUACAUGCUAAAAACCCCGACUUCGGGAGGGGUGUAUUUAUUAGAUAAAAAACCAAUGCCCCUCGGGGCUCCUUGGUGAAUCAUAAUAACUUAACGGAUCGCAUGGCCUUGCGCCGGCGACGGUUCAUUCAAAUUUCUGCCCUAUCAACUUUCGAUGGUAAGGUAUUGGCUUACCAUGGUUUCAACGGGUAACGGGGAAUUAGGGUUCGAUUCCGGAGAGGGAGCCUGAGAAACGGCUACCACAUCCAAGGAAGGCAGCAGGCGCGCAAAUUACCCAAUCCCGACACGGGGAGGUAGUGACAAUAAAUACUGAUACAGGGCUCUUUUGGGUCUUGUAAUCGGAAUGAGUACAAUUUAAACCCCUUAACGAGGAACAAUUGGAGGGCAAGUCUGGUGCCAGCAGCCGCGGUAAUUCCAGCUCCAAUAGCGUAUAUUAAAGUUGUUGCAGUUAAAAAGCUCGUAGUUGAACCUUGGGCCUGGCUGGCCGGUCCGCCUCACCGCGUGUACUGGUCCGGCCGGGCCUUUCCUUCUGGAGAGCCGCAUGCCCUUCACUGGGUGUGUCGGGGAACCAGGACUUUUACUUUGAAAAAAUUAGAGUGUUCAAAGCAGGCCUUUGCUCGAAUACGUUAGCAUGGAAUAAUAGAAUAGGACGUGCGGUCCUAUUUUGUUGGUUUCUAGGACCGCCGUAAUGAUUAAUAGGGAUAGUCGGGGGCAUCAGUAUUCAAUUGUCAGAGGUGAAAUUCUUGGAUUUAUUGAAGACUAACUACUGCGAAAGCAUUUGCCAAGGAUGUUUUCAUUAAUCAGUGAACGAAAGUUAGGGGAUCGAAGACGAUCAGAUACCGUCGUAGUCUUAACCGUAAACUAUGCCGACUAGGGAUCGGGCGAUGUUUCUAUCUUGACUCGCUCGGCACCUUACGAGAAAUCAAAG
rnacentral:rRNA from 1 species